rnacentral:rRNA from 1 species
UACGUAGGGUGCAAGCGUUGUCCGGAAUUAUUGGGCGUAAAGAGCUUGUAGGCGGCUCGUCACGUCGGGUGUGAAAACUCGCGGCUCAACCGCGAGCCUGCACCCGAUACGGGCGGGCUGGAGUUCGGCAGGGGAGACUGGAAUUCCUGGUGUAGCGGUGGAAUGCGCAGAUAUCAGGAGGAACACCGGUGGCGAAGGCGGGUCUCUGGGCCGAUACUGACGCUGAGAAGCGAAAGCGUGGGGGAGCGAACAGG